GAUGAACGCUGGCGGCGUGCCUAAUACAUGCAAGUCGAGCGAACGGACGAGAAGCUUGCUUCUCUGAUGUUAGCGGCGGACGGGUGAGUAACACGUGGAUAACCUACCUAUAAGACUGGGAUAACUUCGGGAAACCGGAUCUAAUACCGGAUAAUAUUUUGAACCGCAUGGUUCAAAAGUGAAAGACGGUUUUGCUGUCACUUAUAGAUGGAUCCGCGCUGCAUUAGCUAGUUGGUAAGGUAACGGCUUACCAAGGCAACGAUGCAUAGCCGACCUGAGAGGAUGAUCGGCCACACUGGAACUGAGACACGGUCCAGACCCCUACGGGAGGCAGCAGUAGGGAAUCUUCCGCAAUGGGCGAAAGCCUGACGGAGCAACGCCGCGUGAGUGAUGAAGGUCUUCGGAUCGUAAAGCUCUUUUAUUAGGGAAGAAAAUAUGUGUAAGUAACUGUGCACAUCUUGACGGUACCUAAUCAGAAAGCCACGGCUAACUACGUG
rnacentral:rRNA from 1 species